ensembl:lncRNA
CUACCUUGAAAUCAAAUUGGAAACUGAGUGGAAAAACAGUUCUCCUCUUGACCCUCUCUGCAUUUAUACUCCAAUCUACGCCCAACGCAUGGCUUUGUUGUACACUCUGUAUGAGUGCCCUCUAUAAUUAAACCUUUAUUCAAAUCUCCUCCUGCCUUCUUCAUCACCCUUGGUUAGAUCAAAACAGGAGAGGCAAAAAAAAAAGAAAAACUUGUCUGGGGUGCAGAAGCAGAGAGGAAGAGAUACUAUUUAAUGAAACAGGCUAACGGUGGUGGGGAGAGAAAGUCUCAAUUCUCCCAUCUCAGAAACAUUGAGCCUGGAAAUAUUGCUGAAAUCACAUUUGGGAACAAAGCUCCGCUUUAAGUAGGCUCACCCAUGAGUGUUGCUAAGCAAUGGAGAGAAGGCGAGAGAGGGAGAGCGCCUGACUUCAGGAUUAGAAGGAUAGAUAGAAGGAAAACCACUAAGGCUUCUAUGUAGCCUUAUUUAAAGUCAGCUUCCAAGUCCUAUGUUUUUCUUGCCUGUCUUCUGACCUAUUUGCACCACAAUUAGUCAAAUAUGGUUCAGUAUCACCACGCAUCCAGCACAGAGUUGCGCCGCGUCCUGGAGCUCUGGCACAAGCAGUUACGCACCAGAACUGUCAACAUGUCUCCACAUUGAACAGGGAAUUUAAGAGCAGUCUCUGAAGUCCUACAGAACUGACAAACUACUCAUUUAGAGAGGCUCCACGCUGGGUGACUCCCAUGAUCUCCUUUUCUUUACAAACAGCAUUUCUUUUAAAAAGAGCUUUAGUGGUUGUGGAAGGAUAUUAUUAUUGUUGGCUUUUCAUACUCUUCCGCAACCCACCAACAGGACUGGUCUAUGCUUCAGCAGGCAUUGCCACCACUGCUGGUUUCAACACCACAAUCCCAGAGCAGCGGCAACAGAGCCCACAAAGGAACGUGGUCCUGAACAAGUCAACAGGCAUGGGUGAAAGGUCUGCAAGCAACGUCACGCUCCAAACCUCAACAGUUCACUUUUCUUUUGCACCAGUAUUUCUAUUUUUGCUCUGUGGCAAAAAUACCCAGAGGCAUUGGUUGGAGGGAUUUUUAAUCUAUGAUUUGUUUAACUUCAAAACAAUAAAUAAAAACUAAAAAUCAAUUAGAGCAGCCAGGAAGAGAGAGUGCUGCUUUUGUUGGCUGGAAAUGAAGAAGUUUAAUGUAUCCUUUCCUAAACAAACCUCCUCUAUACAUGAUUUUCUUGUAACAACAGGCAGGCUUCAAAAGACAUUUGGAGGUUUGGUUCAGGAUAGGAACCCAAAAGUUGAGAAAAUUCAGUUCUCUGCAAAACAGAGCUGGAAGUCUUGAGAACAGCAUGAGUGAAAUUUCCAGUGCUUCCCAUGUCUGCUCAAGCAGAGACAGUACUGUUAAAACAACCUCUCAGGCUGCUUUUCAGGAAACUGGCUAUUUUCUGCUGAACCAGCCAGAAACCAUUAAGUUCAAUACAUAAAAUAAUGAAAAGAGAAGUUGGCUGCCCUCAAAGGUAAACAGAGGUCAAGGUGGAGCUUGGCAUGCAGUUAUUCUUUGGUUAAAGAAAAAAGCUGCUCCAUGCAGAUCUGCUCAAAUUAAAAGAAAUAAUUUACAUAAAGUUUAUGAACUCAUCUGUUCAUCUUCCAGAAGUAAUUCAGUGGAUGAGAUUAUUAGCAGGGCCAUUAGCAGAUCUGAACUCUUUCUAGGAAAAAAAAGAUGAUUUGUAUGUCUAAUAAAAAUGAAACCAUAAUGUUCAGUUUCAAUUUGACCAACUAAUUGUAUAUAUACUUUCCAAAUUAAUAAAAAUGAACUUCAGUAGGUUCUACUCAGCAUCAAACAAGCCAUACACGUGAGAAAAUUAUGAGUUAUCAGUAAGCAAUGAGGUUAAAAUGCAGUGAAUAAAUCACUUCCAGAACCUAGAAAAGAUUCUGCAGGAUAUCUCAUCCAGACAGGUUUGCUAUUCCUUCACUGACAGUACUACAUCCUCUGCAGCCCUAACAGCUCCUGUGUUUAGACACCCAGGGAAAGGGUUGGGCAUAUUCAUAGCAUAAAUGAAUAGCAGGAAUGACAGACAAACAAAUGUUCUUUCAGAGGCCUUGACUGACCGACCUCCUUCACAGGCCUCAAUACAAAAUCCACUGAUUGAGCACAGGUGCUCAAAACCAGUAUUUGCAGGCCUCAAGUUUUAGAGCACAUAGAUGGAGUUAAUAAAACUACCAGGACUCAGACACUAAGUACAGUUUUCCUCUUUUCCUUCUCACCCUGCAGACAAUCCCAUUUUAAUUACUGCCUAACUCUCCACAUAACUUCAUUCCUCACUGUACUCUUCAUUAUUCUCUUUUCUAGCCUCUUUCUCACCCCAAGGCAAGACUGAGAAAGCAAGGACUGUCAGAGAAAGAAGUUGGAGGGGAAGCCCUUCCCCAGCAGCCUGGGACAGAACAGAACAGGUUUUCAGAAAUCCCCUGCUUUCUCAUCUCAGACAGUGCCAGAGCAAAUAGCCAGAGAAAGCAAACACCUGAGCCCACGGCCAGGCUCCCCCUCACACACCCCACCGGCCUCCGCAGGCUGGUGGAUGCGAUCAGACAUGUUCCUAGCUCCAAGGGAUCCCUGAGUGAUAGAUUUUACAUCUCAACCUUCCAAAAGAAAGGUGAAGGUGAUCAAUCAGAAGUGCUAUUCGUUAUCAGUCCUAAGAGCUGCUUACGGUGCUACUGGCGGGAGGUGUAUUUUAAAUUUCAUCACCCACUGGAUAUCUGUCUUCUGCCUCUGUUAAUUCCCAAGGCUGAUCAGAGCAAUCUAGCUAUACCUAUGGCCUAGAGAGAUUUUGGAGCAGUG